GCAUUAAUGGGGUAGUGGUAACCUGGGUCGUUGCCAUAUGGUUGCCGUGGUCUCUGUCGACCCGCCGGGGGUUCGAUUCCCCCUUAAUGCA